GUCCCGCCCUCUUGCGGGACCGGGUUUGGCGACCUGGAUCACAAUGGCGGACUGCCGCCACAUGCGGCAUUUUU
rnacentral:sRNA from 1 species